rnacentral:rRNA from 1 species
AGUGAACGCUGGCGGUAGGCCUAACACAUGCAAGUCGAACGGCAGCACAGUAAGAGCUUGCUCUUACGGGUGGCGAGUGGCGGACGGGUGAGGAAUACAUCGGAAUCUACUUUUUCGUGGGGGAUAACGUAGGGAAACUUACGCUAAUACCGCAUACGACCUACGGGUGAAAGCAGUGGAUCUUCGGACCUUGCGCGAUUGAAUGAGCCGAUGUCGGAUUAGCUAGUUGGCGGGGUAAAGGCCCACCAAGGCGACGAUCCGUAGCUGGUCUGAGAGGAUGAUCAGCCACACUGGAACUGAGACACGGUCCAGACUCCUACGGGAGGCAGCAGUGGGGAAUAUUGGACAAUGGGCGCAAGCCUGAUCCAGCCAUACCGCGGGGGUGAAGAAGGCCUUCGGGUUGUAAAGCCCUUUUGUUGGGAAAGAAAAGCAGCAGGUUAAUACCCCGCUGUUCUGACGGUACCCAAAGAAUAAGCACCGGCUAACUUCGUG